GACGAACGCUGGCGGCGUGCUUAACACAUGCAAGUCGAACGCUGAAGCUCAGCUUUUGUUGGGUGGAUGAGUGGCGAACGGGUGAGUAACACGUGAGUAACCUGCCUCCUUCUUUGGGAUAACGCCCGGAAACGGGUGCUAAUACUGGAUAUUCACUGGUCUUCGCAUGGGGUUUGGUGGAAAGGGUUUUUCUGGUGGGGGAUGGGCUCGCGGCCUAUCAGCUUGUUGGUGGGGUGAUGGCCUACCAAGGCUUUGACGGGUAGCCGGCCUGAGAGGGUGACCGGUCACAUUGGGACUGAGAUACGGCCCAGACUCCUACGGGAGGCAGCAGUGGGGAAUAUUGCACAAUGGGCGCAAGCCUGAUGCAGCGACGCCGCGUGAGGGAUGGAGGCCUUCGGGUUGUGAACCUCUUUCGCUCAUGGUCAAGCCGCAACAAUGGUUGUGGUGAGGGUAGUGGGUAAAGAAGCGCCGGCUAACUACGUG
rnacentral:rRNA from 1 species